GUGCUGGCUUUGGCAGCACAUAUGCUAAAAUUAGAAUGAAAGGAGAUUAGCAUGGCUCCUAUGCAAGGAUGAUGUUCAAAUUCAUGAAGCAUUCUUUUUUUUU